UUUUCUUUUUCUUUUUUCUGAAAAGAAAGAACAGGCUUUAUUUCAUUUCUGCUUUUAGUGAAUUAUAGGUAUUACUAGUAAAAUUGUACUUGUACAUUAUGUCUAUAGAGAUACGAGUCCUUAGCAUGACUACAUAUUGUAAACAAUUACUAUGCUUACAUGGUAGUUGACAGCACUUGUGCUGGAGAUAAAAUGCUAUUCGAUAUUCAUGUGGAACUUAGGUCUUUCCUUGCCUCUUCCAAAUAUUGCAUGCAUAAAAUUUAAAAAUAAAAAAAGUAGUCAUUCUCUUAAAUUUCAUGCUUAACUUGCUAAGAGGCCACUAAGCGUUGGUUUGGCACUCCCUGCUCGACUAACCAGAAAAAAACCUAAUUGCAAUCUAAUUUGAUUCAGCAAUCUCACAAACAAACUCGCACCAGAUCAAAUUAAGAAUAUUAAUUGCAUAUAAUUCGGGUUUGUCUGAAAAAACCAACUAGGUUUGGUUGGAUUGCAAGUUUAUGCUUGAGUUACAUUUUUGGUUGGGUCUAGUUACUAAGUAGAUCCAUUGAGCCAUUG
rnacentral:lncRNA from 1 species